ensembl:lncRNA
UUUUUUUUUUUUUUUUUUUCCUGAAAGAGGCAUGCAGAACUGAUCCAAAUAUCAAGCACUCUGAAAGCACAACGAAAUUUGAAGAAAUAGACUUAUUUUUUCCUUCCAAAAACUUUCAGGCACUAAGACUUGAGGACAGGUUAGACUUCUGCUAACACAGACAAUGACUGGGAAAAAACAAACAAGCAGUUGCAUUUUGGAAACACAGGAUAAGAAAGGAGUAAAACAAGAAAAAAAAUAGACAGGAAGAGAAAAGAACUGUAGCACACAUAUCGUCUUGACAACUGAGUGAAGCAAACAUACUCCACCUAUGCAAAAGAGAAGCUUUUAUCAAUCAGAAAGGCUAGUGAUAUCAUUUGUUUCGGAGUUACUAAAUGUGGGUUUAUUUGUCUGCUUGCUUAAUAGCUUUGAAUUCUGCAUCCAUUAUUAACUUGUGGUCUCACUCUUGAGCAUUCAGUGAAAAACUGUGUACUCUAUGAGCUCUUUAAGACUGCAGACUAUGGAUAGCAGUACCUGUUGACUGUGUACCAAUCCCAACAUCAGAAAGUUCUUGAGGAUUUUUUCUUUACUAUCAAGUCUCAAAUCUCAUGCUCUAAUCUAAACCUUUCUCAAAGUAACACCUAUCUCACUUUAUCCUAGAGAAAACCUGAUGGAGCCCCUCUUCCACCGUGUAUAAGACAUGACCACUGGUCUGGCACUCAGAAUUAUGUAGAAGUCACAGAUCUGUCUUUUAUUCAAUGGAAUCAUAAUUCCAUACCUUAUUUUUGGGUUUGUUUUUUCUGAUUGAACCAAUAAAAGAUUUAGUGGCUUAAACUGAUGAAGAACCAUUAUAAGUUUAGGACAUAUUAUAUAUGUAUUAGAUUCUGAAUAGCAAAACCUGACAGAUUUAAAUAUUUGAACAAGAAUUUCUAGUGUCAAUAGCACUUGAAAAGUUACACUUUAAUCUCUGAAUGUCAGGAAGAAUAUCCAGUAAUAAUCUCUGAUUUUAAUAUGGCUCUUAAUGGUGGAGAAUUUACCUGACACAGACUUAACAGCAUCAGCCAUCUCUGUCUACAUGUUACAUUAUAUAAGUGAAGUGCUUGAAUAAUUGGAUAGGGAAUUAGCUAUCUUAAAUUUAUUUUACUUAUCUUUAUAUAUGAGCAAAUAUAGCAGAAAAAAUCAAUAAUAUGGCUCGAGUUCUCUCCAAGGUAAAUCGCGUUAAAAAAAAUGUUAAAAGACAACCAAUGAAUUAAGACCCUGUUGGUGAAGUAGAAACUUCAAAGGCAUAUGGUUAGAUUAUGGAGAAAAAGCAAAAUUUUUUUAAAAAAUAAUAUGAGUUUCCUAAGGUAGUUAUAAGUUUGAAGUUGUUCUGCAUUAAGAAUUGUCUAGAGAAAAAAUAAGGAAAAUCUGCUAAUCAGUUCAAUUAACCAUGAUUAAAAUAAACUUGAUACAGUGCAAAAUAUCAAGUGAAAAUCUACUUGAUAACUGUGAUACAAAUGACAUUAAUAGAAAGUGCACCAUAACAAGCUCCUUCCUUAGUUUUAUGUUUGGGGGGGGGGUGUCUUUUUUUCUUUUUUAAUAUAUUUCAGACUCUAAUGCAUUUGUCUUAUAUCUGGUGCCGAAUAAAUUUUCUUUAAAGAAGAAAAUUUCUGUAUUCGUUAGCUUCUUGUCUUUAGAUUUUGUCAUCUUAUUUACUGAAUUUUCAUAGAAUCAAGAAUCAAGAAUUAGCACAUAUAAUGUACUAAACUCAAAAACAACCAUUCAGGUUAUUGAGUCUGACCCCUGACCCUGCGAAAGACAGCCCAAGAAUUACAUCAUAGAGCAUUGCUCUUGAACUCUGUCAGGCUGGUGCUUGACCACUUCCCUGGGGAGCCUGUUCAGUGCUCAGCUACCCUCUGGAUGAAGAACCUUUUCCUGAUAUCCAACCUAUGACCUGACACAGCUUCAUGCUGCUUCCUCAAGACCUGUCACUGGUCAACUCAGAGAAGAGGCCAGCACCUGCCCCUCUACUCCGUGCAUGAUCAAGAUGAAAAUUCAAUAUUCAAAUUGAAUAAGUCUUAUGCUUAAACUAGUUAUAAUUCCAAAUGGAAAGAGGCAUAGGACACUUUUUCUCUGUGUAUAUUUAUAUCAGCUUAUGGCAAGUCCCCUCCUCUGCCAGAGUGUGCAGUGGCUGUUGCAUGUUGACUGGAAACCCCCAUAACCCAUAAGGGAUUUUCUCUUCUGAGUGAUGAUGGAGAUUAGUAGGCAUUAAAAAUCACGUCCUUAAUUUGAGAAAGAAAAGGAUAUAAAGACUCUCCUUGUCUCCUGCAUACACUGUUAAUCAGUGGUAUCAAUCUUCUGAAUACUGUCAUGGUGAACUGAUUUAUACAGACUACCAUCACUUCAGAAAUUAUGUAGAGCAGAGUUGAACAAAAAUAUUUUCCAGUCUUAACAGAUCACUUGGUUCAUGAAUUCAGAUGUAAUUUUAGAAGGCUGUAAAACUUUAAAAGAGUCUCCUGACCAUUGUGAGCUGACUUGAAAUCAGUAGAUCUUAAAUUUUCUGGGGAAGUUGACCAGACAUUUUAAAGAUUAUUAAUUUGUUUUAUUCUUUAUAAUUUGAACAUUCUAAUAUACUUUAUGAUUAGAUGGAAUACUAUUAAGUUCAUAAAAUCAAGUGCCUCAUUUUUUUUUUAACAGACUACUUAUUUCCAUAAUGAGUUAUUUAAUCUUAAAUUUUCUUUAAGCUCACCCAAAGGGAUGUUUAUGAUUUUCAAAAGAAAGUUUCCUUGCUAUAUUAAGUAACAGCUAAAACUGAAUUUUCAUACAGAGGAUGAGUUCAGCUUUUAGGGCAUUAUAAAACAACAGUGAAGUUAAUAAUCGUGAUGACCUCAGAUGACUGGAUUGCUAAUCACCAGAAAGAUAAGACUGGUGGAUCAGAUUUUUUGCACAUUUUUUCCUUGCAGAAGCUUGAUUUAUUCUGGCAGGUAGAAACAUUAUAGGUCUCUCCUAUAUAUGUAUAUACUUUCUCCUUAAGGUUACCAAAGUGAGACAUUGAUAUCAUCUCCUCUGCAGUAAUGUCUCCUCAAAGAGGGGAGACAUCAAAUCAAAGAAACAUAUUUCUAUUAGGAGACAACACAUUUGCAUCUUUCAGUUUAUCAUUUCCAAGAUAAACAACAAAGAUAUGAGCAGAGCAGCUUGCUAUUCCACAUCUCUACUUCAUUAAAAAUAAUCUUGUUACAUAGCAUAUAAACUAAAGCUGAGAUUAACGACUUCUGGCAAAAAGUUUCAACUUUGUUUUGCUUUUUCUCUAUUUUCAAAUGAAAUAGCAUGUGUGUCUUUCACAUGAAAUUAUUAAUAUAAAAAUUAUUUAUAUUUAUUCACAUAAAAUAGGGAAAGAAACAUAUUUGUCUAUUUAAUUUAGGAAACACUAAGAGCUUUUUUUUUAACACAAUAGUUUGCAUUCUGCGUCAUCAAGAUCUUCUGAACAAAUAUUAAAAAAUUUAUCUUAUGCUAUUCCGUCCAUGCAGAUACAGAUAAACUACAAACAAAAUCAAAGGUUUAAAUAACCAAAAAACAGAUGUGUUUGUUCCCAAAUUACUGUAAAUUUCAGGCAUAAAUAUGCAUAAUAUGAAACAGAUAUUCAGACUGGUACAGUCUUAUAACAGAAGGAAUUUUAAAAAUACACAUAGAAUGGAAUAACUAGACAAUAUAAUGUCUGUUGUACAGGAAAUUUAGAUUGAUAUGUUUUAUUCAUUCUGGAUCAGAUUAAAAAAAAAAUCAAAAUUGAAAUUUGUCAUAAAAAAAGGUAGGGAUAGAAGUAGCGGUUUGUGUGAAUGCAUAUGCAAAACAACUUCUCCAAAAAGCAGAACAUUUAUGAAUCACUAAAAUACAUUAAUGUGACAUGUAUUUAAAUUAAUGGUUUGUGAGGAAUGUUUGGGUGUACUAACAAAUUCAAAUAGUUUAUUUGAAAAAAAAUAUUUGAAACCAAAUGAAAAAUAAUUUGCCAGACAAAAUUAUUUGAUUUUGAUAGUGCUGAAACAAAAUGAAAAUUGUAACUUAAGAAAAACAAAAUGUCCUUUCAGAGACGGUUCCAAUAAAAUACCUUAUUUUCAGCAAACCACAUAUUUGAAGCCACUUGUUAUACCUUUCCUACUGCAUGUAGUGAAGAAUGUUUAGUCACUGAUGGUACCACUGAUAUUCACUGAUAAAAAUACCUUAUGGAGGGUAUUGUUCCCUCCUAUCUGGUCACUGUUGCUGUAUUAUUUGUGUACUUUGCCAGCCCUAUCAUGAGGCUGCCCAAAGUCUCAGAGUGGGACUGGGAACACAGCCCAGCAAAAGAGAAAUGCCAACAGCAGUCCUGCAACUCUCAUAGGUAGAAAGCUCUCUGUAAAAGCUGACUUUUAUCCCAUAGUACACAUGCAAAAUGCAGUCUUCCUGAAGUCAAACUGACCCUAAUGCUUUAAAAUGACAAAGUUCCUUGGGGAGUCCACAUCUGUAACACUACUGUUGUCCAACUUAAUGAGGUUUUGUACCAGUUAGCCUUCUAUAUUUUGGUUACACAGUCUAUAUAAAAUGCACUUGUAAGGUAUCUAACAGACAUCUCUGCUUGUAAAACAUGAUAUCUCAGGUCCUAAUACACAAAGCAGGCACUGCGACUGACCCAAGUAUUUCCUAAGGAAGAUGUACUGUCUAUCAAACCAACACAUAAUACCCUGGUGAUACUGGUGAUCCAAGUAUAAAAAGCUUUUUAGAGGUUGCACUUCACAAAUGUGUCAUUGCUUUGCUCUGUAAAGCACUCAUAAUAUUUUAAGUGACUUUUACAGCCAAAUUUUCAUCACUGGGAGAAAUAGGUGUGCUCUUCUGAGGUUCCUCAUUGCUACAUAAAAUCUAUAAUUGCAAUCUCAUCCCCUUAUUUCCUAUAUAUAGUGUCUAAUAUAUUCAUCUUUUGCCUGGUCAGUGUUCAAGCGCAGUUCUAAGUGGA